GCUGGUGUAUUGGGUGCUGCUUUGCAAUGCGCCAUUCGUGGUGCUACCGUAGAAAAUACUUUAUUUGAAGACGGUGAUGGUGCAAAUAGAUUCCGUGCUUUUAACCCAACUCAAGCCGAAGAAACUUAUUUAAUGGUCACCGCUAACCUCUUUUGGUCCCAAAUCUUUGGGGUUGCUUUUUCAAAUAAACGUUGGUUAUAUUUCUUUAUGUUAUUUGUAGCAGUAACCGAUUUAUGGAUGAGUGCUCUUGGAGUAGUCGGUCUAGCUCUGAACCUACAUGCCUAUGACUUCGUUUCUCAGGAAAUUCGCGCAGCGGAAGAUCCUGAAUUUGAGAUUUUCUACACCAAAAAUAUUCUCUUAAACGAAGGUAU
rnacentral:lncRNA from 1 species